AUUGCUUCUCAGCCUUUUGGCUAAGAUCAUGUGUAGUUCGGUUCUUGUCAGUUUUAAUAUCUGGUAUACUGUAUACUUGAGGUCGGGUCUGAAUAUUAAUCUGAUUUUUGCAGGAAGGAGGGCUAGGAGCUUGUUCCAUCAACUUCAUGCAUCGUCCUGGUAUUGCAAUGCGUCUGGGAAUAGUGCACACUCA